UGCCACUCUUAACGGGGUGGCUUUUCAGAAGUGUAAAAAGCUUCUGGAAUAAGGGCUGGGCAAGACCGGUGCCAGCCGCCGCGGUAACACCGGCAGCUCAAGUGGUAGCCGCUUUUAUUGGGCCUAAAGCGUCCGUAGCCGGUCUGAUAAGUCUCUGGUGAAAUCCCACAGCUUAACUGUGGGAAUUGCUGGAGAUACUAUCAUGACUCGAGGUCGGGAGAGGCUGGAGGUACUCCCAGGGUAGGGGUGAAAUCCUGUAAUCCUGGGAGGACCACCUGUGGCGAAGGCGUCCAGCUGGAACGAACCUGACGGUGAGGGACGAAAGCCAGGGGCGCGAACCGGAUUAGAUACCCGGGUAGUCCUGGCCGUAAACGAUGUGGACUUGGUGUUGAGAUGGCUUCGAGCUGCCCAGUGCCGAANGGAAGCUGUUAAGUCCACCGCCUGGGAAGUACGGCCGCA
rnacentral:rRNA from 1 species